CCUCGGGAUCCUUCGGGUUCUUUCGUUUUCCCUCCAGGGUAAAGUUAUGUUCAGUCUUCCAUCAACACGUUAAUUUUUCCGCCCGACUCGGCGCGCGUGCGCAGUGCCUCCCAGCCCAGGCUGUUCCUGAAAUGUAAACCUGUUGUGACACAGGGAAGGAAGCUGAACGUCCAUCCUACAGGUCCGUCAACAAUUUGGCUCAGCAAUUCACCUUCGGAGCAUUAUCCUACUGGACAUCCAUCUGUGCCUCGAGGCUGCUUCGAGGAGGCUCUUGACUAUGUAUUGUUUAUUAUAAUACAGCGAGAAUUGGCCCCGUAACGAUGACUAUUGUACAAGAGUUUAAGAAAUAACCUGUGUGUGAGGCACAGAAGUUCUUUUGCUCACAGAUAAGCACUGAGGAAACCAGGAAUGUUAAAUACACAGGGAUGUCUGUUCAGUGAGAAGGUGUAUAACAUGUUUUCUGCCUAGAAGGAGUGGAUGUGAUUAAUACGCCUGGGACCUGAAGCUGAUAGCCUGGGACCUCACCAGUUCCUCCCCAGACCAUUAUCGUUGAACAUGUUUUUCUCAGUCUAUAGAAACGACGUUUCUGGAAGAUGUUACAUGUAUUUUACAAAGAGUUCCAGUGAGAUCACGUCUUAAACUUUGCUGUGCACAAAGGUUAGUUAUUACCAGGAAAGUUUUCACCAAAUAAACUACUUGGCGUCAGACUCGAAAAGUUUGAACCAA